rnacentral:rRNA from 6 species
GGAUGAGCCCGCGGCCUAUCAGCUUGUUGGUGGGGUGAUGGCCUACCAAGGCGACGACGGGUAGCCGGCCUGAGAGGGCGACCGGCCACACUGGGACUGAGACACGGCCCAGACUCCUACGGGAGGCAGCAGUGGGGAAUAUUGCACAAUGGGCGAAAGCCUGAUGCAGCGACGCCGCGUGAGGGAUGACGGCCUUCGGGUUGUAAACCUCUUUCAGCAGGGAAGAAGCGAAAGUGACGGUACCUGCAGAAGAAGCGCCGGCUAACUACGUGCCAGCAGCCGCGGCCG